GUAGUGUACUACGUAGGGAGUAGUAUGUACCAUUUGAGCCCCAGGUCUGGUUAUCUCUCAUUGUUAACCAGGGUGUAGUGUGAUGUAGUGUACUACGUAGGGAGUAGUAUGUACCAUUUGAGCCCCAGGUCUGGUUAUCUCUCAUUGUUAACCAGGGUGUAGUGUGAUGUAGUGUACUACGUAGGGAGUAGUAUGUACCAUUUGAGCCCCAGGUCUGGUUAUCUCUCAUUGUUAACCAGGGUGUAGUGUGAUGUAGUGUACUACGUAGGGAGUAGUAUGUACCAUUUGAGCCCCAGGUCUGGUUAUCUCUCAUUGUUAACCAGGGUGUAGUGUGAUGUAGUGUACUACGUAGGGAGUAGUAUGUACCAUUUGAGCCCCAGGUCUGGUUAUCUCUCAUUGUUAACCAGGGUGUAGUGUGAUGUAGUGUACUACGUAGGGAGUAGUAUGUACCAUUUGAGCCCCAGGUCUGGUUAUCUCUCAUUGUUAACCAGCUUUCCUUCGGUAAUACAUUCAGCUCUGCCACCACGUUGAGGCCCUGUGAGUUUGAGUAUAAACCAGCGUAAGGGAAGAUUGAAGUUGGAUUUUUUUUUUAAAUGAAUGAGUAGAUAAAUAAAUAAAUAGGUGGUGCUGUUUUAUUGUGUUUUUUUUUACGGAUCAAAUUGACAGUUUUCAUUAACCGACACACCAACAGCUUUUUCAUGUUGGCGUUGGCGUUCUCGGCCUCGGCUUUGGCGGGUGGGCGAGCGGCAGGCGAGAGAGCAGUGUUGGCGUUUGUUGUCUGUAGGUAACUAAACCUUUAUAGUCCCUGACUAGAGACAUAGAAUAAUGUCUGUAGGUAACUAAACCUUUAUAGUCCCUGACUAGAGACAUAGAAUAAUGUCUGUAGGUAACUAAACCUUUAUAGUCCCUGACUAGAGACAUAGAAUAAUGUCUGUAGGUAACUAAACCUUUAUAGUCCCUGACUAGAGACAUAGAAUAAUGUCUGUAGGUAACUAAACCUUUAUAGUCCCUGACUAGAGACAUAGAAUAAUGUCUGUAGGUAACUAAACCUUUAUAGUCCCUGACUAGAGACAUAGAAUAAUGUCUGUAGGUAACUAAACCUUUAUAGUCCCUGACUAGAGACAUAGAAUAAUGUCUGUAGGUAACUAAACCUUUAUAGUCCCUGACUAGAGACAUAGAAUAAUGUCUGUAGGUAACUAAAACCUUUAUAGUCCCUGACUAGAGACAUAGAAUAAUGUCUGUAGGUAA